GACGAACGCUGGCGGCGUGCUUAACACAUGCAAGUCGAACGGAAAGGCCCUGCUUUUGUGGGGUGCUCGAGUGGCGAACGGGUGAGUAACACGUGAGUAACCUGCCCUUGACUUUGGGAUAACUUCAGGAAACUGGGUCUAAUACCGGAUAGGAGCUCCUGCUGCAUGGUGUGGGUUGGAAAGUUUCGGCGGUUGUGGAUGGACUCGCGGCUUAUCAGCUUGUUGGUGGGGUAGUGGCUUACCAAGGCUUUGACGGGUAGCCGGCCUGAGAGGGUGACCGGCCACAUUGGGACUGAGAUACGGCCCAGACUCCUACGGGAGGCAGCAGUGGGGAAUAUUGCACAAUGGGCGGAAGCCUGAUGCAGCAACGCCGCGUGCGGGAUGACGGCCUUCGGGUUGUAAACCGAUUUCGCAUGUGACGAAGAGUGAGUGACGGUAAUGGGUAAAGAAGCACCGGCUAACUACGUG
rnacentral:rRNA from 1 species